GACGAACGCUGGCGGCGUGCUUAACACAUGCAAGUCGAACGAUGAAGCAGAGCUUGCUCUGUGGAUUAGUGGCGAACGGGUGAGUAACACGUGAGUAACCUGCCCUUGACUCUGGGAUAAGCGUUGGAAACGACGUCUAAUACCGGAUACGACCUUCGGAGGCAUCUCCUGGGGGUGGAAAGAAUWUCGGUCAAGGAUGGACUCGCGGCCUAUCAGGUAGUUGGUGAGGUAAAGGCUCACCAAGCCGACGACGGGUAGCCGGCCUGAGAGGGUGACCGGCCACACUGGGACUGAGACACGGCCCAGACUCCUACGGGAGGCAGCAGUGGGGAAUAUUGCACAAUGGGCGAAAGCCUGAUGCAGCAACGCCGCGUGAGGGACGAAGGCCUUCGGGUUGUAAACCUCUUUUAGUAGGGAAGAAGCGAAAGUGACGGUACCUGCAGAAAAAGCACCGGCUAACUACGUGCCAGCAGCCGCGGUAAUACGUAGGGUGCAAGCGUUGUCCGGAAUUAUUGGGCGUAAAGAGCUCGUAGGCGGUUUGUCGCGUCUGCUGUGAAAACUGGAGGCUCAACCUCCAGCCUGCAGUGGGUACGGGCAGACUAGAGUGCGGUAGGGGAGAUUGGAAUUCCUGGUGUAGCGGUGGAAUGCGCAGAUAUYAGGAGGAACACCGAUGGCGAAGGCAGAUCUCUGGGCCGCUACUGACGCUGAGGAGCGAAAGCWUGGGGAGCGAACAGGAUUAGAUACCCUGGUAGUCCAUGCCGUAAACGUUGGGAACUAGAUGUGGGGACCAUUCCACGGUCUCCGUGUCGCAGCUAACGCAUUAAGUUCCCCGCCUGGGGAGUACGGCCGCAAGGCUAAAACUCAAAGGAAUUGACGGGGGCCCGCACAAGCGGCGGAGCAUGCGGAUUAAUUCGAUGCAACGCGAAGAACCUUACCAAGGCUUGACAUAUACGAGAACGCUGCAGAAAUGUAGAACUCUUUGGACACUCGUAAACAGGUGGUGCAUGGUUGUCGUCAGCUCGUGUCGUGAGAUGUUGGGUUAAGUCCCGCAACGAGCGCAACCCUCGUCCUAUGUUGCCAGCACGUAAUGGUGGGAACUCAUGGGAUACUGCCGGGGUCAACUCGGAGGAAGGUGGGGAUGACGUCAAAUCAUCAUGCCCCUUAUGUCUUGGGCUUCACGCAUGCUACAAUGGCCGGUACAAUGGGCUGCAAUACCGUAAGGUGGAGCGAAUCCCAAAAAGCCGGUCUCAGUUCGGAUUGAGGUCUGCAACUCGACCUCAUGAAGUCGGAGUCGCUAGUAAUCGCAGAUCAGCAACGCUGCGGUGAAUACGUUCCCGGGCCUUGUACACACCGCCCGUCAAGUCAUGAAAGUMRGUAACACCCAACGCCGGUGGCCUAACCCGUAAGGGAGGGAGCUGUCUAAGGUGGGAUCGGUGAUUAGGACU
rnacentral:rRNA from 1 species